rnacentral:rRNA from 1 species
UACGUAGGGUGCGAGCGUUGUCCGGAAUUAUUGGGCGUAAAGAGCUCGUAGGCGGUUUGUUGCGUCGACUGUGAAAACCUGGGGCUUAACUCUGGGCUUGCAGUGGGUACGGGCAGACUGGAGUGUGGUAGGGGAGACUGGAAUUCCUGGUGUAGCGGUGGAAUGCGCAGAUAUCAGGAGGAACACCGAUGGCGAAGGCAGGUCUCUGGGCCACUACUGCGCUGAGAAGCGAAAGCAUGGGGAGCGAACAGG